rnacentral:misc_RNA from 1 species
UUUCCGUAGGUGAACCUGCGGAAGGAUCAUUAAAGAAUUUGCCCCGUCCUCUCGAGGAUGGGUCCUCUUCUAAACCGUGUAUACAUACCUUUGUUGCUUUGGCGGGCCGCCGUCUCGGCGUUGGCUUCGGCUGACUGUGCCCGCCAGAGAACCCCAACUCUUCUGUUUAGUAUUGUCAGAGUACUAUAUAAUAGUUAAAACUUUCAACAACGGAUCUCUUGGUUCUG